GAAUGACAUUGCUCAGAACUUGUUAUUAUGCCAUUAUUUUAGGUUUUUCUCUAUUAUUUUCCAUCUUACUCCUUAGUGUGUGGUCCACUGGGAAGCAGCAGAACCUGGCUUCUUGGAUCUCAAAUAAUCUAACUUCACUGCAGUUACUCCACUGGACUGCUGCCUAGUAAGUCUGGAGGCCAAGAUCUAAAAUAUUGUUCUGAGACCUCCAGGAAUAUCGGCUUCCUUCCUUCUUCCCCCGUUCGAGAGAAAUGGCCUCAUUGAACUCUUCUGAGGGAUGACCUCAGUGUCUUUUUCAAAUUGGAAAGAAACAUGAGUUUUAUCCCAACUCAUGCCCGCCUCCUUAGCCAUGACAUAUAGACAAUGGACUCUCACCGAGAACUCUGCCAAGCAUACCUGAGUAGGAGCUGAUUCCUAAGUGUUUAUUCCUAAGCAAUUUAUUAGGUGGACUAGAGAGAGUAUCUUCCUCUGCCAUCAACCUGACAGCAUGAGAGGGGUGCUGUUCUCCUUAGAAACUUGAACUUGAGCAUGGACAAAGACUUUUCCUUUACUACCUUGUGGACCAGCUGAGAGCAAUUUGGAACAUUCCAACAAGACUUUACCAAAGAUUUCUGGAAAAUAAGCAGAGAGGGAAAUAAGAAUCUAGAUCAUCUGAUAUCAAGUUACAGCUCUUGCUCAUGGCCUCAAGAACUCCUGCCUUCAACCUGGGCGACAGAGUGAGACCCUGUCUCAAAAAUAAAUAAAUAGGGUCGGGCGCGGUGGCUCAGGCCUGUAAUCCCAGCAUUUUAGUAGGCCGAGGGGGGCGGAUCAUGAGGUCAGGAAUUCAAGACCAGCCUGUCCAACGUGGUGAAACCCUGUCUCUACUAAAAAUACAAAAAUUAGCUGGGCGUGGUGGUGCAUGCCUGUAGUUCCAGCAACUCAGGAGGCUGAGGCAGGAGAAUCGCUUGAACCUGGGAGGCAGAGGUUGCGGUGAGCUGAGAUUACGCCACUGCAUGAUGCCUGGGUGACAG
rnacentral:lncRNA from 1 species